rnacentral:SRP_RNA from 1 species
GCCGGGCGUGGUGGUGGGCGCCUGUAGUCCCAGCUACUCGGAGGCUGAGGCAGGAGAAUGGCGUGAACCUGGGAGGCGGAGCUUGCAGUGAGCCGAGAUCGCGCCACUGCACUCCAGCCUGGGUGACACAGCGCGAGACUCCGUCUCAAAAAAAAAAAAAAAAAAAGAAUCUCGCUCUGUCACCCAGGCUGCAGUGCAGUGGUGUGACCUCAGCUCACUGCAACCUCCGCCUCCCAGGUUCAAGCAGUUCUCUGCCUCAG